rnacentral:rRNA from 1 species
UACGUAGGGGGCUAGCGUUGUCCGGAAUCAUUGGGCGUAAAGCGCGUGUAGGCGGCCAAGUAAGUCUUACGUGAAAUCCUGAGGCUCAACCUCGGGCCUGCAGUCGAUACGGGCAAACUAGAGUACUGCAGGGGAGACUGGAAUUCCUGGUGUAGCGGUGAAAUGCGCAGAUAUCAGGAGGAACACCGAUGGCGAAGGCAGGUCUCUGGGCAUUAACUGACGCUGAGGAGCGAAAGCAUGGGGAGCGAACAGG